GACAACUCUCUGUGGAGGUUCAAGAGAACUAAAUUCAAGUGAGCUGUAAAUUGCACCCUGAGCUGAGUAUGAGUAAUGGAAACCAGGAGAAGCCAAGCCAUGGACCCGGGAUUGUCCCCACAGUAGAAGAUGUCCACUUGAUUGUUUACAGAUGUUCAUUGCAAAUUUUCAGAACGUCGAGGACUCCUGUAGAGAUAGUUAUCUGCAAAGCGUUUAGUUUGUUCUGUACUCGGGACAUUAUAUCUCUCCACAUGACAAGCACCUGGGAGAAAAGUUUUGU